rnacentral:rRNA from 1 species
GAGGGGCAGCAUGGGCUUAGCUUGCUAAGCCCGAUGGCGACCGGCGCACGGGUGAGUAACACGUAUCCAACCUUCCGGUAACUCCGGUAUAGCCUUUCGAAAGAAAGAUUAAUCCCGGAUAGUAUGGUGAUUCCGCAUGGUUUCUCCAUUAAAGGAUUCCGGUUACCGAUGGGGAUGCGUUCCAUUAGGCAGUUGGCGGGGUAACGGCCCACCAAACCUACGAUGGAUAGGGGUUCUGAGAGGAAGGUCCCCCACAUUGGAACUGAGACACGGUCCAAACUC